rnacentral:rRNA from 1 species
AGUCAUAUGCUUGUCUCAAAGAUUAAGCCAUGCAUGUCUAAGUAUAAGCAAUUAUACAGCGAAACUGCGAAUGGCUCAUUAUAUAAGUUAUCGUUUAUUUGAUAGUACCUUACUACUUGGAUAACCGUGGUAAUUCUAGAGCUAAUACAUGCUGAAAAUCCCGACUUCGGAAGGGAUGUAUUUAUUAGAUUCAAAACCAAUGCCCUCUGGGCUCACUGGUGAUUCAUGAUAACUCCUCGAAUCGCACGGCCUUGCGCCGGCGAUGGUUCAUUCAAAUUUCUUCCCUAUCAACUUUCGAUGUUUGGGUAGUGGCCAAACAUGGUUGCAACGGGUAACGGAGGGUUAGGGCUCGACCCCGGAGAAGGAGCCUGAGAAACGGCUACUACAUCCAAGGAAGGCAGCAGGCGCGCAAAUUACCCAAUCCCGACACGGGGAGGUAGUGACAAUAAAUACUGAUACAGGGCUCUUUUGGGUCUUGUAAUUGGAAUGAGUACAAUUUAAAUCCCUUAACGAGGAACAAUUGGAGGGCAAGUCUGGUGCCAGCAGCCGCGGUAAUUCCAGCUCCAAUAGCGUAUAUUAAAGUUGUUGUGGUUAAAAAGCUCGUAGUUGAACCUUGGGCCUGGCUGGCCGGUCCGCCUCACCGCGUGUACUGGUCCGGCCGGGCCUUUCCCUCUGUGGAACCCCAUGCCCUUCACUGGGCGUGGCGGGGAAACAGGACUUUUACUUUGAAAAAAUUAGAGUGCUCCAGGCAGGCCUAUGCUCGAAUACAUUAGCAUGGAAUAAUGAAAUAGGACGCGCGGUUCUAUUUUGUUGGUUUCUAGGACCGCCGUAAUGAUUAAUAGGGACAGUCGGGGGCAUCAGUAUUCAAUAGUCAGAGGUGAAAUUCUUGGAUCUAUUGAAGACUAACUACUGCGAAAGCAUUUGUCAAGGAUGUUUUCAUUAAUCAGGAACGAAAGUUAGGGGAUCGAAGACGAUCAGAUACCGUCGUAGUCUUAACCAUAAACUAUGCCGACUAGGGAUCGGACGAUGUUAUUUUUUGACUCGUUCGGCACCUUACGAGAAAUCAAAGUGCUUGGGCUCCAGGGGGAGUAUGGUCGCAAGGCUGAAACUUAAAGAAAUUGACGGAAGGGCACCACCAGGGGUAAACCGCAGUCGCUCUGCCCCCGAAAGCAGCCGGGAAACCGGUCACUGGGUCCUUGGCCGGGAGGCCGAAGAAUGCUAGUCGCCCCCCGGGGCGGCGACACCCUCCAAUUGCGGGAACUCCCUAAAGCCGACUGGGACCAAGCGGGCGCCGAAAGGGCGUCCCGUGGCCGGGUUAACGACCCCGGGUACGGUAACACGCCGGUCGGAUGAGCUUUACAAUGGGUGAUCCGCAGCCAAGCGCCUACCCGGCGAGCGCAGCAGCGCCGCCGCAGGGCGAAGGUUCAGAGACUUGACGGGGGUGGGUCCGGGGCGCCUCUGGGCGCCGCCGGGCCUAAGAUGAAGUCCGUCUGCGCGCGAAAGCGCGACAGAGCCCCUCCGAAAACGGGAGCCUGCGGCUUAAUUUGACUCAACACGGGGAAACUCACCAGGUCCAGACACAAUGAGGAUUGACAGAUUGAGAGCUCUUUCUUGAUUUUGUGGGUGGUGGUGCAUGGCCGUUCUUAGUUGGUGGAGUGAUUUGUCUGCUUAAUUGCGAUAACGAACGAGACCUUAACCUGCUAAAUAGCCCGUAUUGCUUUGGCAGUACGCUGGCUUCUUAGAGGGACUAUCGGCUCAAGCCGAUGGAAGUUUGAGGCAAUAACAGGUUGACCUUCACAGGCCUGUCAUAGUGGGCCUCGUUAAAGAUAACUGCUAGUCCAGCGACUUAGCCUCCGCGGGGAAGCCCCCAAUGUCGGGCGGAGGAGGACCCCCCUCACGGGGCGGGGUGCCUUGUCGCGGGCGACACCACCUGGUACAGGGAACGCCGCGAGCCCAGCGAUGGGGGAGCGGCCGAUCCUGUGGCGAGCCCGGGCAGCGCCGGGCCGUCGCAACGCGCGCAAAGGGGUGGGCCGGGCCGCUGGACGCGGCCGGCUUAAGGUACGUGCUAAUCCCGUGGGAAACCACGCUCCCGUGACUAGGCCCGACACGCCGAAGCACGGGGGGGCCGCCCGCGGGCGGCCGGCGGAGGCGGCGCCCGCGGCGGCCGCCUCGAAUGCUGUGAUGCCCUUAGAUGUUCUGGGCCGCACGCGCGCUACACUGACGGAGCCAGCGAGUACUCCCUUGGCCGGAAGGCCCGGGUAAUCUUGUUAAACUUCGUCGUGCUGGGGAUAGAGCAUUGCAAUUAUUGCUCUUCAACGAGGAAUCCCUAGUAAGCGCAAGUCAUCAGCUUGCGUUGACUACGUCCCUGCCCUUUGUACACACCGCCCGUCGCUACUACCGAUUGAAUGGCUCAGUGAGGCGUCCGGACUGGCCCAGAGAGGUGGGCAACUACCCCUCAGGGCCGGAAAGCUCUCCAAACUCGGUCAUUUAGAGGAAGUAAAAGUCGUAACAAGGUCUCCGUU